UGUAAACUAUGUUACAUGUACCACUCCCAUCUUCCUUUAUCACUUCUAACAAACAAAAAACUUGAUCGAAUUAUUGGCACUAAAUGUUUUACAACACGAAAUAACCAUAAAUCUACAAGGCAUACCUGAUGUUACAGCUGCAAUGUGGAACCUAUAACUACACCAACCAUGACCUUAAUGCAAUACAAUUGUUAAGCAGACGACUUACAAGUCCCAUGCACAUGGAUCAUAGUCACUUGUCAAGAAAACUUAUCAGGUGGCGUCAUGGAGUUGAUCUCCAAAAUAACAUUCCGGAGGGGCAAUCUAUUGCUCUCAUUCCAUCAUUCACGUGGCCGAGCCAACCAGAGAGAACUAAGGGCUCGAAGCCUAGAGAAAUAAUCAUUUAUUGCCAGAAGGGCACGGGCCGACUGCCGGGUUGUCAAUACACGGUGCAUUUGUUCAAGUGUUUGCUGUCUCAGAUUAUCAGCCUGGCGAAGGAA
rnacentral:misc_RNA from 1 species